UCCCCUUCGGGGGACAGAGUGACAGGUGCNUGCAUGGUUGUCGUCAGCUCGUGUCGUGAGAUGUUGGGUUAAGUCCCGCAACGAGCGCAACCCUUGAUCUUAGUUGCCAGCAUUUAGUUGGGCACUCUAAGGUGACUGCCGGUGACAAACCGGAGGAAGGUGGGGAUGACGUCAAAUCAUCAUGCCCCUUAUGACCUGGGCUACACACGUGCUACAAUGGAUGGUACAAAGGGCUGCAAGACCGCGAGGUCAAGCCAAUCCCAUAAAACCAUUCUCAGUUCGGAUUGUAGGCUGCAACUCGCCUACAUGAAGCUGGAAUCGCUAGUAAUCGCGGAUCAGCAUGCCGCGGUGAAUACGUUCCCGGGCCUUGUACACACCGCCCGUCACACCACGAGAGUUUGUAACACCC
rnacentral:rRNA from 2 species